GCGCCUUCUGUUCCCUUUCCAUGCCCUCCGCCGCCGCCUCUCUCCUCCGCCUCGUAUCGUCCCCGCACCGCUUCCGACAUCCGCCGGAUCUGUGCGGAUACCGAGUUUGCCGUUCGGAAGAUGUUGGGUUCAUGAGCGCCUAAAGGCAUCGCCCGCCUCCUUGCGGAAGCCGCUCCUGCUCUGCGCCGUGGAUUCAAGACGCCGCCUCGAUCUUCCGCAGCUACCGCGCGCCAGGGUCGGACAGGUCUUCUGGGAUAAGCAUGCUGACAUACGUAGAGCUCGUGAGGAGAAUGAAUUAGCUUUGAAUCAGUCGCGUGAGAAAGAUGAGCAGAUUAAGAAGCUGAGGAAUUACUCUGGGCGCGUGAGAAAGAUGAGAAGAAUACGAAGCUGGAGCAGAACACGGUUCAGGCCAACUUGGUGGAGGAAGUUUAAGAUGGUAAAAACCAGUGCAUCUCUCCUCCCAUAUCAUAAGUAUGAUAUUGGUGUGUGGGUAACAAGGAUUGCUGUCACCGUGUUUUAGUUUAGCGUAUCUGAAUUUGUGGAUCCGUAAUUUGUGUUUGGCUAAGGGUGGUAGAGUGAUUCUGAUUCUCAAUGGGAGAUAAUUUUUCAAGA